UAAGGAAUAUUGGUCAAUGCCCGGAAGGGUGAACCAGCCAUCCCGCGUGAAGGAUGAAGGGGCUCUGCCUUGUAAACUUCUUUUGUAUGGGGCGAAAAAAGGGGAUUUAUCCUCGACUGACGGUACCAUAAGAAUAAGCACCGGCUAACUCCGUGCCAGCAGCCGCGGUAAUACGGAGGGUGCGAACGUUAUCCGGAAUCACUGGGUUUAAAGGGUGCGUAGGCUGUUUAAUAAGUCAGUGGUGAAAGGCCGUCGCUUAACGAUGGGACUGCCAUUGAUACUGUUAGACUUGAAUCAGGUUGAGGUUGGCGGAAUGUGGCAUGUAACGGUGAAAUGCAUAGAUAUGCCAUGGAAUACCGAUUGCGAAGGCAGCUGACUGGACCUUGAUUGACGCGUGAGG
rnacentral:rRNA from 1 species